UACAGAGGGUGCGAGCGUUGUCCGGAAUCACUGGGCGUAAAGGGCGCGUAGGCGGUCUGGUAAGCGUGUGGUGAAAGCCCGGGGCUCAACCCCGGGUCGGCCAUGCGAACUGCGAGACUGGAGCCGAUCAGAGGCAGGCGGAAUUCCGGGUGUAGCGGUGGAAUGCGUAGAGAGUCCGGAAGAACGACCGGUGGCGAAGGCGGCCUGCUGGGAUCGAGCUGACGCUGAGGCGCGACAGCGUGGGGAGCAAACAGGA
rnacentral:rRNA from 1 species